GUUCAUGAAAGUCAUUAGAAUGGGAGAAAUCUUGAAAGAUGGGAUCAAAGCAGGAAGAAUCUAAGACUACAGUUUUGCAAGCUGCAAGCAAAGUAAUUCAAUAUGGUUCCAUCAAUGUGAAAAAAAGAAAGAAGAUGUAUCUUCUCUCAUGAUUGACCAAGGAUACAAGCCAAAUCAAGUUCCUCUACACCCAAAUCAACCACAUCAGCCUAUUUAUCCUUACCCAUAUGCCGGAGCUUCCCAAACAUUCCAUCAACUUCCACCAACUCCUUACCAUGUCUAUAAUACCCAAGAAAAUUACUACCAACGUCCAGUUCCUGCUUACCAAGCUCCACAUCCAUACCAGCC
rnacentral:lncRNA from 1 species